rnacentral:lncRNA from 1 species
UUGUGCUGAGUUCUUAGGCUGCCUCACAAGGCCCUGCACGGAUGGUUCACCAGGUGCCAGCCCCAGAGCUUUGGACUUGGAUUGCUGACCUGUUCCCAGACUACGAUGCUAAAGCUGCUGGACUGAGAUCCACACUUUGGGGAACCCUGGUGUAGUAGGCCAAGAGGGGACAGGGAAAGUUUUCCUCCUAGUUACCUUAUCCAGCUUGGCAAAGUCUCCACUUUGCCCACAAGGAGCAGAGACUGAGAGGCUGAGGAGCUUCCUGGAGGCUGCACAGCUGGUCAGGCAGAGCCAGGUUCUGACCUGUGUCUGUGCCUCCAGAGACCUGUGUGUGGCUCUGGGGCUGCAGGU